rnacentral:rRNA from 1 species
CGGGGGGCAGCAGUGGGGAAUAUUGGACAAUGGGCGAAAGCCUGAUCCAGCCAUGCCGCGUGUGUGAAGAAGGUCUUCGGAUUGUAAAGCACUUUAAGUUGGGAGGAAGGGCAGUUACCUAAUACGUGACUGUCUUGACGUUACCGACAGAAUAAGCACCGGCUAACUCUGUGCCAGCAGCCGCGGUAAUACAGAGGGUGCAAGCGUUAAUCGGAAUUACUGGGCGUAAAGCGCGCGUAGGUGGUUUGUUAAGUUGAAUGUGAAAUCCCCGGGCUCAACCUGGGAACUGCAUCCAAAACUGGCAAGCUAGAGUAUGGUAGAGGGUAGUGGAAUUUCCUGUGUAGCGGUGAAAUGCGUAGAUAUAGGAAGGAACACCAGUGGCGAAGGCGACUACCUGGACUGAUACUGACACUGAGGUGCGAAAGCGUGGGGAGCAAACAGGAUUAGAUACCCCUGU